CGCGGCCUAUCAGCUUGUUGGUGUGGUCAUGGCGCACCAAGGCGACGAUCGGUAGCUGGUCUGAGAGGACGGCCAGUCACACGGGGACUGAGACACGGCCCCGACUCCUACGGGAGGCAGCAGCGAGGAAUUUUGCGCAAUGGGCGAAAGCCUGACGCAGCAACGCCGCGUGGGGGAUGAAGGCCUUAGGGUCGUAAACCCCUUUUGCAGGGGAAGCUACUGACGGUACCCUGCGAAUAAGUCACGGCUAACUACGUGCCAGCAGCCGCGGUAAUACGUAGGUGACAAGCGUUGUCCGGAUUUACUGGGCGUAAAGCGCGCGCAGGCGGCUCACCAAGUCUGGGGUGAAAUCUCCCGGCUCAACCGGGAGGAGUCUCUGGAUACUGGCGAGCUUGAGGGAGGCAGAGGAGAGUGGAAUUCCCGGUGUAGCGGUGAUAUGCGUAGAUAUCGGGAGGAACACCAGUGGCGAAGGCGGCUCUCUGGGCCUUUCCUGACGCUGAGGCGCGAAAGCGUGGGGAGCGAACCGGAUUAGAUACCCGGGUAGUCCACGCCGUAAACGUUGGGCACUAGGUGUGGGAGGUAUUGACCCCUUCCGUGCCGUAGCUAACGCGAUAAGUGCCCCGCCUGGGGAGUACGG
rnacentral:rRNA from 1 species